GAUAUCUAGGCACACGCGUAGUAGAACAACACCACACAGAUAUACAAACAGAAACCAAUGUGCCUAGGCUAUCAACAAGUACACGACGAUAAAGAAAAAGCAACGUUAUUCGAUAUUACCAUUGCAUAAGAAUUAUAAGAUAUGUAUGCAUAUAAAAAGGCCAAAAUGUCUACACCAAACGAUGAAGAAGAAUGGGAAUUGGAAUAUUUUGAAAAGCUGAAGAAUUUUCGAGCACAAUGUAAAUUGUGUCCAUGUUCUAAUCGAACCAUUUAUAUGUACCGCGAUAUGACGAAGGUGAAUAAUCAUUUCAGAGUUCACCGCCACCCAAAUGUAGACAUGAAUAGAAUUCGUCAUCCGAAAUGGCAUUAUUUCAGAGAAACUGACGAUUCGCGCAUGCAAUGUAAUUAUUGUAAUAAGAGUUAUGUGAUCAACAGUUCAUGGACACUAUUGAAUGCACAUUUAAAUAAGGAACAUGGCAUACAUGCAAAUGUAGAAAAACGUUUUCAAUCGAGUUUUAUAUGGAAUUAUAUUAUAGAGCUUGAUAAAGAUACUGUGAUGUGUACUGAAUGUUUUGCUAUGAUUAAAGUUGCUCGUCUGUAUGCUUUACGUAUUCACAUAUUUAAAAAACAUUUAGAUGUGUUGGAAGAAAAUCGAAAUCCACAAGGAGAAACCAAUAUGCCUGUGCCAUCAACAAGUGCACAACGUUAAAAAAAAAGAACGAUUUAUCCCAUCCAGAUUUGCCAAAGGUUUUAUAUUCAAAGUUCAAAAUUUUAUAUUCAAAUAUCACAACCAGCAUCAAUCUUGACUAUGACGAUUUAAAUGAUUUGAGAUAUCUGGAGAAACUGCCAUAUCUAUGAUGUGUAAUUUACAAA